CCUACGGGAGGCUGCAGUGGGGAAUAUUGGACAAUGGGCGAAAGCCUGAUCCAGCCAUGCCGCGUGUGUGAAGAAGGCCUUCGGGUUGUAAAGCACUUUCAGUGGGGAAGAAAGCCUUGGGGCUAAUACCCUCGAGGAAGGACAUCACCCACAGAAGAAGCACCGGCUAACUCCGUGCCAGCAGCCGCGGUAAUACGGAGGGUGCGAGCGUGAAUCGGAAUUACUGGGCGUAAAGCGCGCGUAGGCGGUCUGAUAAGCCGGUUGUGAAAGCCCCGGGCUCAACCUUGGAACGGCAUCCGGAACUGUCAGGCUAGAGUGCAGGAGAGGAAGGUAGAAUUCCCGGUGUAGCGGUGAAAUGCGUAGAGAUCGGGAGGAAUACCAGUGGCGAAGGCGGCCUUCUGGACUGACACUGACGCUGAGGUGCGAAAGCGUGGGUAGCAAACAGGAUUAGAUACCCUAGUAGUC
rnacentral:rRNA from 1 species